rnacentral:misc_RNA from 1 species
GGGGAUUGCAUCUUUAACCCACACAGUCGGGCGGGCGCUGUCUCCUUCAUUACAGGUUAUUGGGAUGAAUUAAUGGCUCAAGCGGAACGUCCCUUCGAUGGGAGAUGAAGAUAGGCAUUCUUUCUAUCAUUGAAGUUAACUAGAUCGAUUAGGUUAUACUGGCCGGGUACUUAAGAAUCGGCUCUGUCGCUUGGAUUUUCCCGCACCGCCUUCUGCUCCGUUGGUUGUUCAGAGAGAGCCCCUCCCUGGUUGGCAUGAGGGGGUUUCAUAGGGGCGGGUCUGUGUGCG